UACGUAGGGGGCAAGCGUUAUCCGGAUUUACUGGGUGUAAAGGGAGCGUAGACGGAAUUGCAAGUCUGAUGUGAAAAUCCGGGGCCCAACCCCGGAACUGCAUUGGAAACUGUAUUUCUAGAGUGUCGGAGAGGCAAGUGGAAUUCCUGGUGUGGCGGUGAAAUGCGUAGAUAUCAGGAGGAACACCAGUGGCGAAGGCGGCUUGCUGGACGAUGACUGACGUUGAGGCUCGAAAGCGUGGGGAGCAAACAGG
rnacentral:rRNA from 1 species